GGGGCUGUAGCUCAGUGGUAGAGCACUUGCCUGGCAUGUGUGAGAUACUGGGUUCAAUCCUCAGCACCA
rnacentral:tRNA from 1 species